rnacentral:rRNA from 1 species
UACGGAGGGAGCUAGCGUUGUUCGGAAUUACUGGGCGUAAAGCACGCGUAGGCGGCUUUGUAAGUUAGAGGUGAAAGCCCGGGGCUCAACCCCGGAACAGCCUUUAAGACUGCAUCGCUAGAAUCCGGGAGAGGUGAGUGGAAUUCCGAGUGUAGAGGUGAAAUGCGUAGAUAUCAGGAGGAACACCUGUGGUGUAGACAGCUUGCUGGACCAUUUCUGACACUGAGACACGAAAGCGUGGGUAGCAAACAGG